rfam:Felis catus isolate Cinnamon breed Abyssinian chromosome B2, whole genome shotgun sequence.
CUAAAGGCCCUUUUCAGGGCCACCUAUCCAUGCACUAGAAGGAGCU